ACGUAGGGAGCGAGCGUUGUCCGGAAUUACUGGGCGUAAAGGGUGCGUAGGCGGCGCUGCAAGUCAGAUGUGAAAUCCCCAGGCUUAACCUGGGGGGUGCAUUUGAAACUGCAGUGCUUGAGUGCAGGAGAGGAAAGCGGAAUUCCUAGUGUAGCGGUGAAAUGCGUAGAUAUUAGGAAGAACAUCAGUGGCGAAGGCGGCUUUCUGGACUGUAACUGACGCUGAGGCACGAAAGCGUGGGGAGCAAACAG
rnacentral:rRNA from 1 species